GACGAACGCUGGCGGCGUGCUUAACACAUGCGAGUCGAACGAUGAAGCCUAGCUUGCUAGGUGGAUUAGUGGCGAACGGGUGAGUAAUACGUGAGUAACCUACCUUUAACUCUGGGAUAAGCCUGGGAAACUGGGUCUAAUACCGGAUACGACCAAUCUCCGCAUGGGGUGUUGGUGGAAAGCGUUAUGUAGUGGUUAUAGAUGGGCUCACGGCCUAUCAGCUUGUUGGUGAGGUAACGGCUCACCAAGGCGACGACGGGUAGCCGGCCUGAGAGGGUGACCGGCCACACUGGGACUGAGACACGGCCCAGACUCCUACGGGAGGCAGCAGUGGGGAAUAUUGCACAAUGGGCGCAAGCCUGAUGCAGCGACGCCGCGUGAGGGAUGACGGCCUUCGGGUUGUAAACCUCUGUUAGCAGGGAAGAAGAGAGAUUGACGGUACCUGCAGAGAAAGCGCCGGCUAACUACGUGCCAGCAGCCGCGGUAAUACGUAGGGCGCGAGCGUUGUCCGGAAUUAUUGGGCGUAAAGAGCUUGUAGGCGGUUUGUCGCGUCUGCUGUGAAGGCCGGAGCUUAACUCCGUGUAUUGCAGUGGGUACGGGCAGACUAGAGUGCAGUAGGGGAGACUGGAAUUCCUGGUGUAGCGGUGGAAUGCGCAGAUAUCAGGAGGAACACCGAUGGCGAAGGCAGGUCUCUGGGCUGUAACUGACGCUGAGAAGCGAAAGCAUGGGGAGCGAACAGGAUUAGAUACCCUGGUAGUCCAUGCCGUAAACGUUGGGCACUAGGUGUGGGGAACAUUCCACGUUUUCCGCGCCGUAGCUAACGCAUUAAGUGCCCCGCCUGGGGAGUACGGCCGCAAGGCUAAAACUCAAAGAAAUUGACGGGGGCCCGCACAAGCGGCGGAGCAUGCGGAUUAAUUCGAUGCAACGCGAAGAACCUUACCAAGGCUUGACAUAUACUGGAUCGCAUCAGAGAUGGUGUUUCCCUUCGGGGCUGGUAUACAGGUGGUGCAUGGUUGUCGUCAGCUCGUGUCGUGAGAUGUUGGGUUAAGUCCCGCAACGAGCGCAACCCUCGUUCUAUGUUGCCAGCACGUUAUGGUGGGGACUCAUAGGAGACUGCCGGGGUCAACUCGGAGGAAGGUGGGGAUGACGUCAAAUCAUCAUGCCCCUUAUGUCUUGGGCUUCACGCAUGCUACAAUGGCCGGUACAGAGGGUUGCGAUACUGUGAGGUGGAGCUAAUCCCUAAAAGCCGGUCUCAGUUCGGAUUGGGGUCUGCAACUCGACCCCAUGAAGUCGGAGUCGCUAGUAAUCGCAGAUCAGCAACGCUGCGGUGAAUACGUUCCCGGGCCU
rnacentral:rRNA from 1 species